rfam:Cricetulus griseus cell line CHO-K1, whole genome shotgun sequence.
GCCUGGAUAGCUCAAUUAGUAGAGCGUCAAUCAGACUUUUAGUCUGAGGGUUCAGGGAUCAAGUCCCUGUACAGGCA